rnacentral:rRNA from 1 species
CCUACGGGAGGCAGCAGUGAGGAAUAUUGGUCAAUGGACGAGAGUCUGAACCAGCCAAGUAGCGUGAAGGAUGACUGCCCUAUGGGUUGUAAACUUCUUUUAUAUGGGAAUAAAAUGUUCCACGUGUGGCAUUUUGUAUGUACCAUAUGAAUAAGGAUCGGCUAACUCCGUGCCAGCAGCCGCGGUAAUACGGAGGAUCCGAGCGUUAUCCGGAUUUAUUGGGGUUAAAGGGGGCGUAGGUGGAUUGUUAAGUCAGUGGUGAAAUGUUGCGGCUCAACCGUAAAAUUGCAGUUGAAACUGGCAGUCUUGAGUACAGUAGAGGUAGGCGGAAUUCGUGGUGUAGCGGUGAAAGGCUGAGAUAUCACGAAGAACGCCGAGUGCGAAGGCAGUUCACUGGACUGCAACUGACACUGAGGCACGAAAGUGUGGGUAUCAAACAGGAUGAGAUACCCUGGUAGUA